AGAAAAACCAUAAAAA
rnacentral:sRNA from 1 species